GCCUCUUAGAGAGCACCGGGAUUGUGUGUUUUUUACUCUUUGUUUGGUGUGCUUUCUUUUUCUUUAAACGUUUCGCAUGCAACAGAGAGAACCGCAGUUCUAUCUUCGAUCCAGCAACAAUCAGAUGACAGAUUUGGCCGGCGCCUGCUGCACAUCACCUACCGUCAAACAUCAACAGACAGACUGAUCGAGCAGAAGGAUGUCGUGGCUCUUCUUGGACUGGUUCGUGCCCGUCUACCUGCUGGUUUCGGUUUUGGUGCUGGCCGGGUUCGGUGCUUGCCUGUACUUCCUGGAGCCCGGGCUGCAGGAUGGCCACAAGUGGAGUAGCAAAACAAUCCGGCAUCACCCGUUGGUGGCCAGCGUGAACUGCAGAGAUGAUGAUAAUGCCCUGAUUUGAUCAGGAGGGUGAGGAAGAGCAAACGGCGGGGGGAAUCAAACACAGGUGCUGCACGGAUACCGACGGGUCGGGAGCCAAAAGAGGAAGAGAGGUCAUUCAGAAUGCAACUUCUGCCAUUCCAAAUUGUGAAAAAGUGUGACAAAAAGCAAAGUGCACAAAAAAAA